ensembl:lncRNA
GGAGAGAAGAAGAAGGAGGCGGCGGCGGCAGGGGGAGGGGAGAAAGGGAGGGAGGGGACCGGCGCAGCCACAUCGUCAGGCCGCCGGGCCCAGCCCGCAGCCGCCCGAGCGCGGUGGAGGAGACAGAGGGGAGGGUGCAGACCCUUGGCGCCUUACCGGAGCGCUGCACCGCCGCGUCCGCAGGGCCUCUUCCGUCCUUCACUCCCAUCCACCGGCGGGGGAAGGGGGAGGGAGAGGGAAGGGAGGAAGGAGGGAGGGAGGGAAGGAGGGAGGGGAGGAUGGCGCGCUGGGCCCGGUCCUCGGGAGGGGGAGGGGAGGGAAGCGGGCGGGCUCUUCAGCCGUUCCGGGGCUCGAGCCCAAGCCCAGCGCUCGCGGUUUCUGUUGCUCGCGCCCGAGCGCUUCCUUCCUGCCCUUUCUCGUUCUCUAGACCCUCGGGCCGCUGUUCAAUCGCUCCCUCACUCGCUAUCUCGGCCGUCGGACUCCGCCGCCGCCCCGCCGCUCCAGCUCCGUCUGUCACAGGAGCUGCCCCAGCGCCCUGACGUCACCGCGCCGCCGCCGCCCCAGACCCGCCAGGAAGAGGGAGGGGAGCGGAGGAGGGGCUGCGGCGCAUGCGCGGGCGCGGCUGGGCCCCUGAGUCGCCGUCUUCGUCCUGGCGAGCGGGCGAUCGCGGCCAGUGCUACUUGGCGGUACGGAGUGGCCGGUGGGCGAGCGUGCGCACGAGGCCCUGCUUUUCACGUCCCUCGUGCCGCUAUAACCUUGGAAGAGCCCCUUUUUUCCUCGACUCUGUUGUGUCCCCUCACGAACUCUGGUCCCACUCACCUAACCGCCCCGCUUUUGCCCCACUGCAUGCUGCGCUCUCUCCGCUUCCCCGGCGGACAGCGGGGACCAGUCGGCGCCCCUGCAUCCCGGCCCCGGAUUGUGGGUGAUCAUCUCCUGGAAGCAAGAAGUCAUGGAGGAGAACUCUUCUGCAGGAUAGGAGGAGAAAAAGGGUCUCUGUAUGUAGCCAAGUUGGCCUCAAACUCACCAGGAUUCUUCUGCCUCAGCCUCCCAAGUGACGGGAUUACAGGUUCUUGAGUGCUGGGAUUAACAGGCAUGUGCCACCGUGUCCAGCCUAUGAUGAACAUUUCUGAACAUAAUUUUUUGUUACAUUGUGCUGCUUACUUCCUUAAGAUAGAACCCCAAAAUUAGGGUUACUAGGCCAAAAGAUAAGGUCUUUUAAUUUGUUUAUUUGUUUGUACUGGGAAUUGAACCCAGGGCCUUCACACUGUGCUACAUCUCUGGUUUGUUUGUUUGUUUAUUUAUUUAUUUAUUUACAUAUAAAUUUUGAAACUAGAUCUCACUAAGUUGAUAGACAGCUCAAGAUGAGCUCAAAUUUGCAAUCCUCCUGCCUCAACCUCUCAGAGGGCUGGGUUUAUAGUCAUGCUCAACCAUACCCAGCCCUUUCUUCUUUUUAAAUCGACUACCUCGGGUUUUUUGGGUUUGUUUUGUUUUGGUUUUUUAUUUUUUUGAGACAGGGUCUCACUAUGUAGCCCAGGCUGGCCUCCAACUCAUGACGAUCCUCCUGCCUCAGCCUCCCAGGUGCUAGGAUUACAGGCAUGUACCACCAUACCCAGCUUAUCUCAGGUAUUUUGUCACAGUGAUGGAAAGCUGACUAACACAACUGUGAUGAAAUGGCACACCUGGAUUUGAGCAACAAUGAUACAGUAGAAGGAGGAUUUAUACUAUCUGGAUUUGAACAUCAAUGUAAUCUGAAUUUUGUUAUAAGGUGAAUGUAUUCUUACACUCUCUGGGCCAGUUGAAGCCAGAGCUGCAGGCAGUUCUAGCCCAUGAGAACUGCCAAUAUCAUAAAAUGGGCCACACAGGGAAACACUGCAGAGGUGCAGUGGCACAUGCUGAAGCAGAGGGAUUACAAAUUUAAGACCAGCCUAGUCAACUGAGACUCUCAAAAUACAUAAAAAGGGCUGACAAUGUAGCUCAGUGGUAGAGUGCUUACCUAGCAUGCACAAGACCUUCAGUUCAAUCCCCCUACUGGGGGGAGAAAAGUUAAAAAAAAAAACCAAACAAAUAAUCUCAUGGAUUGUACACUCUAGAUCUAGUUAUUCUGAAACUAUUUCCAUACUUUGUUCUUUAUAAGAUUUAGAAAUAUGAGCUACUAAAACAAAAAAGAAAAAGAAAAAGUAUGAGCUACUAAAUUUAACCCCACUCCCCUCCACUAGUUUUUUAGGUUUGUUUGUUUAUUUGUUUGGGGUUUUUUGAGACUAUGUCUUGCCCUGUAGUCCUGGAUGGCCUUGAACUUUCGACAGUCCUCCUGCCUCAGCCUCCAGAGUGCUGGGAUUACAGGCUUGCAUUUGGCUAGUUUUUCUUAAAGUAGUUUGAAUUUGACUUGCAAUAGAAAGAAUCUUGGCCUAUAUUUAGGCAUGGAAGUAGGAAAAGAUAUCAGAUAUUAGAAUAAAUUUAUAUAAAAUAGUAUUUUAGCUGGUCAUAGUGGUGCACAUCUUUAGUCCCUCCUACUGGAGAGCCAGAGGCAAGAUCACUUGAGAUCAAGAGUUUGAGAUCAGCCUAGGCAACAUAGUAAAACCUUAUUUCAGGAAAACAAACAGUCCCACAAGGUGGCAUACACCUGUAAUACCAGCACUCAAGAGGCUAAUGCAAGAGGGUCACUGCAAGUUUGAGCCCAGCGUGUGCUACAUAGUGAGUUUAAGGCCAGCCUGGACUACAUAACAAGACCCUGUCUCUAAAAACCAAAGGGGAUGGGGGAAAGAAAAACAAACAAAACAAAAUAAAGAAAUAAAAUAGCAUUAAAAAUAUGAACCACUGGCCAUGGUGGCAUAUGCCUGUAAUCCUAGCACUUGGGAGGUUGAGGCAGGAUUGUCAUGAGUUCAAGGUCAGCCUGGGUUACAUAAUGAGUUCACAGCCAGCCUGAACUAUAGAGUGAGACUCUAUCUCAAAAAUAAAUGAAUAAACCAAUACCAUGUAGAAGUAUAGUUUGAAAUUACUAAAUAUACUGUCAAAAAGCAAGCUAUAGAAUGGAAAGAAAUUUUUAUAUGCAAGUGAUAUGUAGGAUAUAUAAAAAAGUACAACAGCAAAUAAUUUAAUAACUUGAUUUGAAAAUGACCAAAAGAUUUCAGCCUUCCAAAAAUGAUACACAAAUGGCCAAGAAGUAUAUGAGAUAGGAAACAGGGACAUAGCUCUUUUACAAAUGGGAAGGGGACCGAGAGAUGAAGGAAAGGGUGUGGGGGGAAGGGGACAUAAAAAGAAUGAAGAAUUAAAAUGUGUUACAUACAUGUACCAACUUCCCAUGAUGAAUGUAAUCAUUAUGUACUGCAAACGUACUAAUAAAAAUUAAAAAUUUUAUAAAGAAGCAUAUGAAUAGAUAGAUAUCACUAAUCAGAAGAGAAAUGCAAAUUAAAACCAGAUGCUACUUCACACCCAUUAUGAUGGCUACUGUGGAAGGAAAAAGGAAAGAGGAAGGAAGGGAGAGGGGCAGGGAAGAAGAAAAGAGAUCUGUCUUGUGUUCCCUAUCAUGAAUGUAUCACCUUGUAUUUAACCAUUCCCUACUGAUAAAUUUUAAAUUGUUUUAGUUUUUUUUCUAUUAAAAAAUCUCAAUAAAUAUUAUCAUUCAAUGAA